rnacentral:rRNA from 1 species
AGGGAAUCUUCGGCAAUGGGCGAAAGCCUGACCGAGCAACGCCGCGUGAAUGAAGAAGGCCUUCGGGUUGUAAAAUUCUGUUAUAAGGGAAGAAAGGUGAUAGGAGGAAAUGACUAUCAAUUGACGGUACCUUAUGAGAAAGCCACGGCUAACUAC